GACGUAGGGCGCGAGCGUUGUCCGGAUUUAUUGGGCGUAAAGCGCACGUAGGCGGCAUUGCAAGUCGGAUGUGAAAUCCCUCGGCUUAACCAAGGAAGUGCAUCCGAAACUGCAGUGCUUGAGUACUUAAGAGGAUCGCGGAAUUCCCGGUGUAGAGGUGAAAUUCGUAGAUAUCGGGAGGAACACCAGUGGCGAAGGCGACUACCUGGCCUGUUCUUGACGCUGAGGCGCGAAAGCUAGGGGAGCAAACGGGG
rnacentral:rRNA from 1 species